CGACGAUUCGGUCCAGCAGCUUCGCCGCGGCUUCGACAUCACCGAUGACUGGCAGGGAGGAGGGAUCUGGGUCUCGAUUUUUGAGCGGAUGAUGAAGACUGAUUUGAGAGAAAUCAUGGCUACAUUACAUAUUCUAGCUUCUUGGAAGAGAAAUUUUACAUGCCUCUCCUUGCUUUCAGGUUCCUGGCAAUGCAGUUUGCCACUAGUUUUUGUUCAUCUACUAGUUUAAGGUGCGGUCUCACAAACUGCUAAAACCUGGUGCUUUUUGGUGUUGUAUUGUACUCCAAGAACAUGCAUCCUACGAUGCAGACCACUUUGUACUACUAUGUCCUUUUCUCUCAUAACUGUUGGAGACCAGUUUUAUACAUCUAUGACAAAAUCUGUGGGGUAGCUGAUACUGAUGCA